rnacentral:rRNA from 1 species
CCUGAUGGAGCAACGCCGCGUGGAGGAUGAAGGCCUUCGGGUUGUAAACUUCUUUUCUAUGCGAAGAAUAUGACGGUAACAUAGGAAUAAGGGUCUGCUAACUACGUGCCAGCAGCCGCGGUCAUACGUAGGACCCAAGCGUUAUCCGGAUUGACUGGGCGUAAAGAGUUGCGUAGGUGGUUUGUUAAGCGAAUAGUGAAAUCUUGUGGCUCAACCAUAAGGCUAUUAUUCGAACUGGCAAACUCGAGAAUGGAAGAGGCAUCUGGAAUUCCUCAUGUAGGGGUAAUAUCCGUAGAUAUGAGGAGGAACACCGAUGGCGUAGGCAGGAUGCUGGUCCAUUUCUGACACUGAGGCACGAAAGCGUGGGGAGCGAACCGGAUUAGAUACCCGGGUAGUCCACGCCGUAAACGAUGAAUACUAGCUGUAUGCAGUAUCGACCCUGUGUGUAGCGAAGCUAACGCGUUAAGUAUUCCGCCUGGGGAGUACGGUCGCAAGACUA